rnacentral:rRNA from 1 species
AUUGAACGCUGGCGGCAUGCCUUACACAUGCCAGUCGAACGGCAGCGCGGGAGCAAUCCUGGCGGCGAGUGGCGAACGGGUGAGUAAUACAUCGGAACGUGCCCAAUCGUGGGGGAUAACGCAGCGAAAGCUGUGCUAAUACCGCAUACGAUCUACGGAUGAAAGCCGGGGAUCGCGAGACCUUGCGCGAAUGGAGCGGCCGAUGGCAGAUUAGGUAGUUGGUGAGGUAAAGGCUCACCAAGCCUUCGAUCUGUAGCUGGUCUGAGAGGACGACCAGCCACACUGGGACUGAGACACGGCCCAGACUCCUACGGGAGGCAGCAGUGGGGAAUUUUGGACAAUGGGCGAAAGCCUGAUCCAGCCAUGCCGCGUGCAGGAUGAAGGCCUUCGGGUUGUAAACUGCUUUUGUACGGAACGAAACGGUCUUUUCUAAUAAAGAAGGCUAAUGACGGUACCGUAAGAAUAAGCACCGGCUAACUACGUG